rnacentral:rRNA from 1 species
UGGGGAAUUUUGGACAAUGGGGGAAACCCUGAUCCAGCCAUCCCGCGUGUGCGAUGAAGGCCUUCGGGUUGUAAAGCACUUUUGGCAGGAAAGAAACGUCGCGGGUUAAUACCCCGCGAAACUGACGGUACCUGCAGAAUAAGCACCGGCUAACUACGUGCCAGCAGCCGCGGUAAUACGUAGGGUGCAAGCGUUAAUCGGAAUUACUGGGCGUAAAGCGUGCGCAGGCGGUUCGGAAAGAAAGAUGUGAAAUCCCAGAGCUUAACUUUGGAACUGCAUUUUUAACUACCGGGCUAGAGUGUGUCAGAGGGAGGUGGAAUUCCGCGUGUAGCAGUGAAAUGCGUAGAUAUGCGGAGGAACACCGAUGGCGAAGGCAGCCUCCCGGGAUAACACUGACGCUCAUGCACGAAAAGCGUGGGGAGCAAAACAGGAUUAGAUACCCCUGGUAGUCCACGCCCUAAACGAUGUCAACUAGCUGUUGGGGGCCUUCGGGCCUUGGUAGCGCAGCUAACGCGUGAAGUUGACCGCCUGGGGAGUACGGUCGCAAGAUUAAAACUCAAAGGAAUUGACGGGGUCAUAGC